rnacentral:rRNA from 1 species
GAAUUGUUCGCAAUGGGCGAAAGCCUGACGACGCAGCGCCGCGUGGAGGAUGAAGACUUUCGGGUCGUAAACUCCUUUCGACCGAGAUGAAUUCCCUCCGACCUAACACGUCGGAGGGGUGACAGUAUCGAGGGAAGAAGCCCCGGCUAACUCUGUGCCAGCAGCCGCGGUAAUACAGGGGGGGCAAGCGUUGUUCGGAAUUACUGGGCGUAAAGGGUUCGUAGGUGGCCAACUAAGUCAUACGUGAAAUCCCUCAGCUUAACUGGGGAACUGCGUCUGAUACUGGUUGGCUUGAGUGCAGGAGAGGAACGCGGAAUUCCAGGUGUAGCGGUGAAAUGCGUAGAUAUCUGGAGGAACACCGGUGGCGAAGGCGGCGUUCUGGACUGCAACUGACACUGAGGUACGAAAGCCAGGGGAGCAAACGGG